CUGACAGCCUGGAAGACAGAACUCUGUUUAUUCACAGAACACAUUAGCACAGGCAGCAGCAAGGCAAACUUCUCCAUGCUGCAUGUCACUGUAUCUCAACUCUGGCCUAGAGGGACCAGCUCUAGGUGUGAAAAAAGAGUUAAGUCUCCAUGCUCAUUUAACCCUUGGCCUUU
rnacentral:sRNA from 1 species